rnacentral:rRNA from 1 species
AGAGAGAGACAUGCGCGCAUAUCAAUAAGCGGAGGAAAAGAAACUAACUAGGAUUCCCUCAGUAACGGCGAGUGAAGCGGGAAGAGCUCAAAUUUGAAAUCUUCAAGGUUCUACCUUGACGAAUUGUAGUUUAAAGAAGUGUUUUCUGUUGGAGUUUUGGUAAAAGUUCUUUGGAAUAGGACAUCAUAGAGGGUGAGAAUCCCGUAUUUGACCAUUAUUUCCAGCUUUGUGAUAGCACUUUCAAAGAGUCGGAUUGUUUGGGAAUGCAGUCCAAAAUGGGUGGUAAAUUUCAUCUAAAGCUAAAUAUUGGCGAGAGACCGAUAGCGAACAAGUACCGUGAGGGAAAGAUGAAAAGAACUUUGAAAGGAGAGUUAAACAGUACGUGAAAUUGUCAAAAGGGAAGCGUUUGACACCAGUGUUGUUUUUCUGAAAAUCAAUUAAAGAACUGUUUAUGCUAAGCUGUUUAGACUUUAUCAGCUAAUCUGUUUAGUUUUGAGCUUUUCUUUAAUGCACUUUUCAGUUAACAAGUCAACAUCAAUUUCUUUUGCUGUAAAAAAGCUUGAGGAAGGUGGCUUGAGAUUCGUCUUAAGUGUUUAUAGCCUCUUGCCUAUGCAGUCGGAGAGAUUGAGGUCUGCAGCGUAGAUCCUUCGGGGCUAAAUGCAUUUGUGCUAAGUUAUAGCCUUUCAUAGACAACUUGUUGACUAUGAUCAGUCAUGUAGCUUACUCGCUUAUGCUAUUUUACCUACGCUUAGGAUGUUGAUGUGAUACUGCGAGCA